rnacentral:rRNA from 1 species
UACGUAGGAUCCAAGCGUUGUCCGGAUUUACUGGGUGUAAAGGGCGCGUAGGCGGCUCAUGAAGGCUGUGGUGAAAGUCCGGGGCUCAACCUCGGAUCGGCCGUGGCGACUCGUGGGCUGGAGCACUGUAGAGGCAGGUGGAAUUCCGGGUGUAGCGGUGGAAUGCGUAGAGAUCCGGAAGAACACCAGUGGCGAAGGCGGCCUGCUGGGCAGUGGCUGACGCUGAGGCGCGACAGCGUGGGGAGCAAACAGG